UACGGGGGGGGGCAAGCGUUGUUCGGAAUUACUGGGCGUAAAGGGCCAGUAGGCGGCCAACUAAGUCCGACGUGAAAUCCCCAGGCUUAACCUGGGAACUGCGUCCGAGACUGGCAGGCUCGAAUCCGGGAGAGGGAUGUGGAAUUCCAGGUGUAGCGGUGAAAUGCGUAGAUAUCUGGAGGAACACCGGUGGCGAAGGCGGCAUCCUGGACCGGUAUUGACGCUGAGGCGCGAAAGCGUGGGGAGCCGAACAGG
rnacentral:rRNA from 1 species